CUGACCUUGUCGAUGCAAGGAUAAUGCCCCCCCAAUGUAGAGUUUAAAAGCUUGAGUACAGGAUUGAUUCCAUUCCAUUGAGUUAGGAGAAGAUUGUAAUGAAGUAGGCCCAGUUAUGGUGCAGUACACUAUGCAGUAGUUUACAGUAGCAUAAUGAAGCAUUCACAACUUCUUAUCAUUGAGAAAGAAAAGACUGCCAUCACUAUAAGGAGGCUGUUUCACCCGUCUCAAAAUUUCUCUCUAGCAAUAACAUCCCCAACUACUUCCAGACUAUGCAUUCUUUAAUAAAUGAAGAACACAUUGCACCACAUAAAAAGUCCCCAUAUCCCCAGCUAUAAAGGGAACAUUUACAGAUGCCAUAUAGCCAUAAUCAAGAGACUCAAUGAACCAAUCUCCUCCCACAUGCACUUUGGAAAGCCUCUCCUCUGCGUUGUGUAUGUUCAACAGGUAGAAUCAUGUUCCCUACUGCACUACCUCCCUUCUCCGAGUCAGACUGUGAGAGAAACAGCCCCUGUCAUUGCAGAUUUCAUCCACUUCAGACAUGUUUCGUGUGUGGAUCAAACUCUGUCUCCUCUUGCCAGGGGUAAGUAGCUUCCUGAUCCACAACACCCUCCACAGCCUGUGUUGGAGGACUUCCCCAAGACGGGGCUGGUUCCAGCUGAAUAAAUGCAACCUGGACUCAGUUUCCAGCAGUGGAUCUGGAGGGACCAGAGUCUCCUGGAGCGUGUGGGGACCUCCAGGUGCCUGUCGGCCCACCACUCUGAUCCUGUCCAGACUGUACCCUGUGAGGGGGUAGAGGAUGGGGGACACAGGGAUGAUGGGGGCUGCGUGGGGUGUGAGUUGAACAGGCUGAUCAGUCAGAACAGUUCUCUGGAGCUCUCCACAGACGGGAAACGACUGACGCUGUCCCACAGGAGCAAGCAGACCAAGUGGGGUCUCUUGAUGAAGGGGAUAUAUGCCAGGAGAGGCUCCGAUCCAAAAGGGCAUCGAGCGAUCCCGAUGAGUUUGAGGGGAAACCUGCGAAAGAGCAGAAAGCGGGGCCUCUGGUAUGACCGAUGAACAGAAAGAAUUCCUCAGAUGGUUCUAUCGCACUGAGACCGUAAGUUAUGCUCUUUACAAAGCUAUUGUACCUUUUUCCCACUACCGAGCUGAGCCAAACUGAGCUAAGCUGUUCUGUGCCUUGCUGGAAAGGACAUGAGGAAGGAAAAUGCAAGCCAGCACCUACAGAUAAGGUUGGCUUGAUGUGUGAAAUUUGUAUAUUAGUGUUGUAUUGGUUAAUGUUGGGGUAGCAAACUGAUCCAUAGCCAUUGUUGGGAAAUUACAAGUAAAAUAGAUAUGAUUGGUUGUUCUUAAGUAAGCUAUUUGAUAUGCAGCUCCAUUAUGUUAUCCAGCUCCAUUAUGUUAUCCAGCUCCAUUAUGUUAUCCAGCUCCAUUCGUUAUCCAGCUCCAUUACAUUAUCCAGCUCCAUUACGUUAUUCAGCUCCAUUAAGUUAUCCAGCUCCAUUAC
rnacentral:lncRNA from 1 species